rnacentral:tRNA from 1 species
GCGGCCGUGGUGGAAUCGGUAGACACGCAGCGUUGAGGUCGCUGUGGCUUUAUAGCCUUGGAAGUUCAAGUCUUCUCGGCCGCACCA